rnacentral:rRNA from 1 species
GGGUGACAGGUGGUGCAUGGUUGUCGUCAGCUCGUGUCGUGAGAUGUUGGGUUAAGUCCCGCAACGAGCGCAACCCUUGACCUUAGUUGCCAGCAUUCAGUUGGGCACUCUAAGGUGACUGCCGGCUAAAAGUCGGAGGAAGGUGGGGAUGACGUCAAAUCAUCAUGCCCCUUAUGACCUGGGCUACACACGUGCUACAAUGGGCGGUACAAAGGGUCGCGAACCCGCGAGGGGGAGCCAAUCCCAAAAAGCCGCUCUCAGUUCGGAUUGCAGGCUGCAACUCGCCUGCAUGAAGCCGGGAUCGCUAGUAAUCGCGGAUCAGCAUGCCGCGGUCGAAUACGUUCCCGGGCCUU